CGAACGUCUUGGAAUCGCGCUCGACGAUUUGAAUAAUAACUAAGGGUCAGCCUGGAAACGAUGUCGAGGACAAUCGGGAGGGAGUGUUGGAAUAUGUGUACGAUCUCCCCCGACACCGACGGCAGAUCCCUCGCGUCGCAGCGACUCUAGAAGCGCUCGCCGCCAAAACCACGUGAUACGGCGCUGAGCUCGGCGGCGCUCUCCGCUCGCCGCCUCACUCUCUACGAGAUAGUCGAGCUGCACGCACGCCUUCGGCUCUUGUCCCGCUCUGUCUAAGUUUAACCUUUAAUAAUAAAGUUACGCUACGCUCUAUUACUUGA